rnacentral:rRNA from 2 species
AGUUUGAUCCUGGCUCAGGAUGAACGCUGGCGGCGUGCUUAACACAUGCAAGUCGAACGGUGAAGCCCAGCUUGCUGGUGGAUCAGUGGCGAACGGGUGAGUAACACGUGAGCAAUCUGCCCCUGACUCUGGGAUAAGCGCUGGAAACGGCGUCUAAUACUGGAUAUGAACCGUGGAGGCAUCUUCAACGGUUGGAAAGAUUUUUUGGUCAGGGAUGAGCUCGCGGCCUAUCAGCUUGUUGGUGAGGUAAUGGCUCACCAAGGCGUCGACGGGUAGCCGGCCUGAGAGGGUGACCGGCCACACUGGGACUGAGACACGGCCCAGACUCCUACGGGAGGCAGCAGUGGGGAAUAUUGCACAAUGGGCGCAACUGAUGCAGCAACGCCGCGUGAGGGAUGACGGCCUUCGGGUUGUAAACCUCUUUUAGCAGGGAAGAAGCGAAAGUGACGGUACCUGCAGAAAAAGCGCCGGCUAACUACGUGCCAGCAGCCGCGGUAAUACGUAGGGCGCAACGUUAUCCGGAAUUAUUGGGCGUAAAGAGCUCGUAGGCGGUUUGUCGCGUCUGCUGUGAAAUCCCGAGGCUCAACCUCGGGUCUGCAGUGGGUACGGGCAGACUAGAGUGCGGUAGGGGAGAUUGGAAUUCCUGGUGUAGCGGUGGAAUGCGCAGAUAUCAGGAGGAACACCGAUGGCGAAGGCAGAUCUCUGGGCCGUAACUGACGCUGAGGAGCGAAAGGGUGGGGAGCAAACAGGCUUAGAUACCCUGGUAGUCCACCCCGUAAACGUUGGGAACUAGUUGUGGGGUCCAUUCCACGGAUUCCGUGACGCAGCUAACGCAUUAAGUUCCCCGCCUGGGGAGUACGGCCGCAAGGCUAAAACUCAAAGGAAUUGACGGGGACCCGCACAAGCGGCGGAGCAUGCGGAUUAAUUCGAUGCAACGCGAAGAACCUUACCAAGGCUUGACAUAUACGAGAACGCUGCACAAAUGUAGAACUCUUUGGACACUCGUAAACAGGUGGUGCAUGGUUGUCGUCAGCUCGUGUCGUGAGAUGUUGGGUUAAGUCCCGCAACGAGCGCAACCCUCGUUCUAUGUUGCCAGCACGUAAUGGUGGGAACUCAUGGGAUACUGCCGGGGUCAACUCGGAGGAAGGUGGGGAUGACGUCAAAUCAUCAUGCCCCUUAUGUCUUGGGCUUCACGCAUGCUACAAUGGCCGGUACAAAGGGCUGCAAUACCGUAAGGUGGAGCGAAUCCCAAAAAGCCGGUCCCAGUUCGGAUUGAGGUCUGCAACUCGACCUCAUGAAGUCGGAGUCGCUAGUAAUCGCAGAUCAGCAACGCUGCGGUGAAUACGUUCCCGGGUCUUGUACACACCGCCCGUCAAGUCAUGAAAGUCGGUAACACCUGAAGCCGGUGGCCCAACCCUUGUGGAGGGACCCGUCGAAGGUGGGAUCGGUAAUUAGGACUAAGUCGUAACAAGGUAGCGUACCGGAAGGUGCGGC